rnacentral:lncRNA from 1 species
GGCAAAUGUGAUCUUUGGCAAGGGACAGCACAUUGUCUUACCGCUGUGGGAAAAUGCUUAAUGCGCAAACAUUUCCUUAAAACGAGCUGACAAGGAAACGUUCAAGAUGGCCUUAUUAAAGAUAAUCAUCCUGGCUGAACAGGACAAAAAUAGAUUAAGUCCCUUCUGAACUCUGAGAGCAGGAUACGUGGCCCAGCAGAGCAUCACUAAACCAAGGCGGGUGGCAGCGGGGAAAGACUCCACGGCUUUCCCUUGGGUUUCACCACUUGGAGAAGCUUCCCAGUCGGCUGGCGUGGAAGCCCAGCUCCUCACCCCACCCCAAGCACAGGGCAGGCGCUGAGCCCCGGGCUGGCAGAGACACACUUGGUGGCAAGUGCUUGCGUGUGGACGCUGCGUGGCCCGAUGUCCCAUCGGUCAGUGUCCAAGAGGAAGGCUCUGGGAUGCCGCUUACUCAGAGAGCCCUGCACGCACCACUCCCAGCUUCACCUGUGCUGCCAGGCUGGGACCAAGUCCACCUUGGAGAUGUGGCUGGCAACUGUCAUCGCUACCAGGUCCAUCUCGCCGCCACUCACUCCCCACCGCCCUCCAAUAAUGCCAACAAAACUCACAGUGGAGCCAGGGUCUCGGGGGAAAGAAGAAAGAUCUGCAAGAGCCUCCCCGACCAUCUCCAGAUGCCUGAGCCCCAGAGCUGACUUGCACGGAGGCUGAUCUGCAUCGAAGGCUGGCCCCGGGCCAGGCACCUGGGAGGGCUUUGGGCCCAUCUCCCACCUGUCCUCGCCUUAAGCCAACAGGGCAGGAACUGUGGUUAUUCCCGUUCUGCAGAUGAGGCACCCAAGGCACAAGGAGUCUGUGCAGCCAGCGGGUGGAGGAGAAGCUGGGGCCACCCCCGGAACAUUUCUGAGGACACCAUUCCUGGCCCUGUACAAACCGACUCUGUCAUCUCCAUUCGCUACAGAGAACCAGCAACUGAUGCCAGUGCAGUGCAGAGAAAUAACGGGCCCAUUUUACAGAUGUGGAAACUAAAGUUCAGGCAGGUCCAAUAAUUUGCCCAAACACCAAACAGCUGCAAAUGGCAAGGCUGGGAUCAGAAGGAAGACUGGAUGCUAGAGCCUCCCUGGCCCCCAUCCCUUCAUUCCUGAUACCUGCACCCCACUCUCUGGCCUUCACCCCUCCCAAUGCCUAGCAUGCGGCCAUUCAAAGCAAUGCUGGGUUCCGCCCCUCACCGUAAAAAUCAAAAAGCUGCCUGCUCGUGAAUGCUUGUGAGAGAGAAAACACCUGGAAAGGUAGAAUCAGGUGCUCCUAAAAUUCACAUCCACUUGGAAUCUCAGAUGUGACUUUACUUGGAAAUAGGGUUUCUGCAGAUGUAAUAAGUUGAGGUUAUACUGGAGCAGGGAAGGCCCUGAAUCCAAUACAAUCGGUGUCCUUAUAAGUAGAGAGAAAUGUGGACACAGACACACAGGGGAGAAGACACAUGAAGGGGGAGACAGAGACUGGAACGAUGCAGCCACAAGCCAAGGAACACCAGAGCCGCAAAAAGCCAGGAGCAGCAAGGAGGGACGCUUCCCUAGGGCCUUCAGAGGGUGCCCAGUCCUGCUGGCACCUGCACCUGGGACUUCUGGCCUCCAGAACUGCA